rnacentral:rRNA from 1 species
ACUCAAAUGAAUAGACGGGGGCCCGCACAAGCAGUGGAGUAUGUGGUUUAAUUCGAAGCAACGCGAAGAACCUUACCAGGGCUUGACAUCCCUUGCAUAUCACAGAGAUGUGAGAAACCCUUCGGGGCAAGGAGACAGGUGGUGCAUGGUUGUCGUCAGCUCGUGUCGUGAGAUGUUGGGUUAAGUCCCGCAACGAGCGCAACCCCUGUUGUUGGUUGCCAGCAAGUAGUGUUGGGCACUCCAGCGAGACUGCCGGUGAUAAAUCGGAGGAAGGUGGGGACGACGUCAAAUCAUCAUGCCCCUUAUGUCCUGGGCUACACACGUACUACAAUGGCCGGUCACAGAGGGAAGCGAGUACGCAAGUAUGAGCGAAUCUCCAAAAACGGUCUCAGUUCGGAUUGAGGGCUGCAACUCGCCCUCAUGAAGUCGGAAUUGCUAGUAAUUGCAAGUCAGCAUAUUGCAGUGAAUACGUUCCCGGGCCUUGUACACACCGCCCGU